rnacentral:rRNA from 1 species
AAGGUAGCGUGAUAAUUCGCCCUUUAAUUGUGGGCUUGUACGAAUGGGUUAACGAGGGUUUAGCUGUCUCCUCUUUAUAAUUAGAAAUUAAUUUUUAGGUGAAAAGGCCUAGCUAAAACCACAGGACAAAAAGACCCCAUAGAGCUUUGUUUUAUUAAAAUUUUUUGAGUAAAUUAUUAAUAUUAUUUGCCCUGUUUUAUAAGACUUAACUGGGGCGGUUGUGGAAAAUUUAUAUCUUCCUUUAUAUUUUUCGCUCUUUAAGCUUGUUGUAAGGAUCCUAAAUUUAGAUUAAAGAAAAGCUACCUUGGGGGUAACAGACUAAUUUUUUUUGAGAGUUCGUAUUGACAAAAAAGUUUGGCACAUCGAUGUUGGCUUAGGGUAACCGUAAGAUAGUAGCAGUCUUUUUGGUGGGUUUGUUCAACCUUUAAAUCCCUACGUGAUCUGAGUUCAGACCGG